UGAGUAACCUGCCCUUAACUCUGGGAUAAGCCUGGGAAACUGGGUCUAAUACCGGAUAUGACUCCUCAUCGCAUGGUGGGGGGUGGAAAGCUUUUUGUGGUUUUGGAUGGACUCGCGGCCUAUCAGCUUGUUGGUGAGGUAAUGGCUCACCAAGGCGACGACGGGUAGCCGGCCUGAGAGGGUGACCGGCCGCACUGGGACUGAGACACGGCCCAGACUCCUACGGGAGGCAG
rnacentral:rRNA from 1 species